rnacentral:rRNA from 1 species
AUUAGGAAUAUUGGACAAUGGGCGCAAGCCUGAUCCAGCCAUGCCGCGUGAGUGAUGAAGGCCUUCGGGUUGUAAAGCUCUUUAGCCGAUGAUUAUAAUGACUGUAGUCGGAAAAUAAGCCCCGGCUAACUUCGUGCCAGCAGCCGCGGUAAUACGAAGGGGGCGAGCGUUAUUCGGAAUCACUGGGCGUAAAGCGUGCGUAGGCGGCUUUGCAAGUUGGGAGUGAAAGCCCAGGGCUCAACCCUGGAAUUGCUCUCAAAACUGCAAGGCUCGAAUUCGGGAGAGGAUAGCGGAAUUGUCAGUGUAGCAGUGAAAUGCGUAGAUAUUGACAGGAACACCAGUGGCGUAAGCGGCUAUCUGGACCGAUAUUGACGCUGAGGCACGAAAGCGUGGGGAUCAAACAGGAUUAGAUACCCCGGUAGUCC